CAACCAAACCUGUUUCAGAGGAAAUCAUGGUCACCACUUCGUGAAAUCAAUGCAGCACCAGCUCAUCCUUCUCCACCUUCUAUACAUAUAUAUAGCAGAGUCGAGCCUUUCAAUUCCUCUGGAAACCACACAAAGAGAAGAAAAAGGAAGAAAAAGUGGCGAUUGCUCGAGGAAGAGGAGGAGGAAAACGUCAACGGGAUCAUCAUCAUCUGCGUACAUCACCAUCAAGAAGAAAGAGAAGGGCCAUCAAGGGAGUUGCUACCCGAAGCCAAAGAAGGAACCCUACCCCUUUUCCUUUAUGAUUUCCUUAGUGUUCUUCUUGUUGAGUAAGACCCAGUAACCUUUGUUCUUUCUUCUUUUUCCCCAAUCCAAAAAUUCAACUUUUAUUGUGCUCCAUUUCUUGCUAGAGUAACUGAAUUUCCCAAGAACUGCCACCUACAAGGGGUUCCUGAUUCAAGAAAACAAGAGAGCAAGAAUUGUGUUCUUGAGCAUCAAAAGAGGUAAGGGGUUAGGUGAUUAGAUUAGAGAUAUGUGUAGCUGACAGUUGUGAUUUUAUUGUUGAUGAUGAUUCUAUAUGAAUGUGUGGUAAUUGCUACUGGAA